UUUGACAUAAUCUUGGCGGAUGCCCGUUUGGGCUCAAUAGGGAAGCCGGUGCGAAUCCGGCGCGGUCCCGCCGCUGUAACCGGUGACGAAAGUCGCAAGCAAAGCCACUGCCGCCCGCCAUAGGGCGAUGGGAAGGCGCGACGACUAGGACGAUCCGGGAGCCAGAAGACCUGUCCGUCAAGAACCCUGGCG
rnacentral:ncRNA from 2 species